rnacentral:rRNA from 1 species
UACGUAGGUGGCAAGCGUUGUCCGGAUUUACUGGGCGUAAAGAGCGCGCAGGCGGUCGAUUAAGUCGAAUGUGAAAGCCCCCGGCUCAACUGGGAGGGUCAUUCGAUACUGAUCGACUUGAAGGCAGGAGAGAGAAGUGGAAUUCCCGGUGUAGUGGUGAAAUGCGUAGAUAUCGGGAGGAACACCAGUGGCGAAGGCGACUUCUUGGCCUGUUCUUGACGCUGAGGCGCGGAAAGCUGGGGGAGCAAACGGG